AUGGUCCAUUCGGUGUGGAAGGUGUGGGCUCCUUCGAGAUGCAAAUUUUUCGCUUGGCUUGCUCUUCAAACUAGGAUUUGGACUUCAGAUCGCCUUCUUCGUCGCUGCGGUCUUUGCCCACUUUGCAAGCAAAGUAAGGAAUCAGCGGCCCACCUUCUGUUCCAAUGUCGUUUUACCCUUCGCGUGUGGAACGAUAUCCUCCAGUGGCUUGGCAUGUAUCACAUCAAUACCGCUGCUUGGAUGACGAGGGGCUCGGUGAAGCAAUGGUGGACCGAGAACAUUCAUAUUCGUAGCGAAUCCCCCAAGGCGCUUGCUUCGCUGAUGAUGCUCAUCUCCUGGGAGAUUUGGUCGGAGCGCAAUGCUAGAAUCUUCCGCAACACGGCCUCUCCUUCGGUGGUCCUUAUUAACAGGAUUAAAGAGGAGUUGUCUCUUUGGGCUUUGGCGGGCGGCAAGCAUUUGAGUAUUGUAAUGGCGCGAGAGUAG
rnacentral:rRNA from 1 species